GUAGGUGGCAAGCGUUGUCCGGAAUUAUUGGGCGUAAAGCGCGCGCAGGCGGUCCUUUAAGUCUGAUGUGAAAGCCCACGGCUCAACCGUGGAGGGUCAUUGGAAACUGGGGGACUUGAGUACAGAAGAGGAAAGCGGAAUUCCAAGUGUAGCGGUGAAAUGCGUAGAGAUUUGGAGGAACACCAGUGGCGAAGGCGGCUUUCUGGUCUGUAACUGACGCUGAGGCGCGAAAGCGUGGGGAGCAAACAGGAUUAGAUACCCUGGUAGUCCACGCCGUAAACGAUGAGUGCUAAGUGUUAGGGGGUUUCCCGCCCCCCUUAGUGCUGCAGCUAACGCAUUAAGCACCCCGCCUGGGGGAGUACGGCCGCAAGGCUG
rnacentral:rRNA from 1 species